rnacentral:tRNA from 1 species
GUAAUUAUAGUUUAAUAAAAACUUAGACUGUGAAUCUAAAAAUAAAGAGUUACAUCUUUUAAUUACC